CUAAAUUCCACGUAAUAAUUACUCACAUGACACCCGUCAUUUAUGUCAACAAUUUGUUAAAGAAAAAAAAAUUAAAAGAUUAAAAGAUAUUUAUAAUAAUAUAGUUCUGGAAAUUAAAAACAUAAUUAAAUUAUAUAUUAAUAAUAUAGUUCGGUUGACACCAACUAAUAUUUAUUCUGGAAUCAUACUUGAGGAGUGGUAGAAUGAGUGCUGCAAUUGAAAUUGGUAUCAGCUUCUGUAGAAGUGCUUUUAGCUGAGAUGCUACGAUCUGCUGCAUUUCUGACACUGAUAUAUAUCUUAUUCGCAUCCAACAUUGCACGGUAGACACUGAUGUAUACCUCUUUAGAGAUGCAAAUUACUCCGUCUCUUCAAUCAACUUUAUGCCAUAAGCUUCUAUAAUAUCCAGUGCUGCAAAGUCCACAGUAUACAACUUCUUCAACAUAUGCAUCAUUUUCGCAAUAAUCAAUGACAGAAUAUUCAUCUGAUGCAAAGAAACUUUCCUAAAAAUUCAAAUUACGCAACUUUCUGCAAUUCUUUGACCAUGUGACUGCCAAAUAUGCUGAUUAUGCAAGCCAGAAAAACUAGAUUCAACAAAUGAACAACAAAACUAAGCACAAGAAUAGAAAGGGAUGGAAAGUACCAGAGCUCCAACAGCAGCUGGAAUACCAACAGUAAGAGCCAUGGCAGUUGUGGCGUUUCCAUUAACAGUCUUCCCAAAUUCAAGUAAAGUAGCUCUGUGUUUCUCUGUCUUUUGGCUAUCUGGGUAUUCUAUUUCCACUUCAUGGUGCAAAAGCACCAUGUCCUGCUUACAAACCAAGUAAAAGGUUAAGGUACUGAUACUAAAAUGUAUGCUUUAUUACGUAAAUAAGUUACUUUAGCAGUAUUUAAUGUGAUAUGCGGAUGGAAUACCAUGUUUUGCUGGAUUUUGGAAGAAAUUACAUUAAGCAGUCAUUUUUUUGUUGUUCC
rnacentral:sRNA from 1 species